rnacentral:rRNA from 1 species
CCCUUAGAUGUCCUGGGCCGCACGCACGCUACACUGAUGCAUUCAACGAGUUUUACCUUGGCCGAGAGGCCUGGGCAAUCUUUUAAACCUGCAUCGUGAUAGGGAUAGAUUAUUGCAAUUAUUAAUCUUGAACGAGGAAUUCCUAGUAAACGCAAAUCAUCAAUUUGCAUUGAUUACGUCCCUGCCCUUUGUACACACCGCCCGUCGCACCUACCGAUUGAAUGGUCCGGUGAAGCCUCGGGAUUGUGGCCAGUUCACUUUAUUGGGAGUUGGCUGCGAGAACUUGUCUAAACCUUAUCAUUUAGAGGAAGGUGAAGUCGUAACA